UGGGGAAUUUUGGACAAUGGGCGAAAGCCUGAUCCAGCAAUGCCGCGUGUGUGAAGAAGGCCUUCGGGUUGUAAAGCACUUUUGUCCGGAAAGAAAUCCUUGGCUCUAAUACAGUCGGGGGAUGACGGUACCGGAAGAAUAAGCACCGGCUAACUACGUGCCAGCAGCCGCAGUAAUACGUAGGGUGCAAGCGUUAAUCGGAAUUACUGGGCGUAAAGCGUGCGCAGGCGGUUUGCUAAGACCGAUGUGAAAUCCCCGGGCUCAACCUGGGAACUGCAUUGGUGACUGGCAGGCUAGAGUAUGGCAGAGGGGGGUAGAAUUCCACGUGUAGCAGUGAAAUGCGUAGAGAUGUGGAGGAAUACCGAUGGCGAAGGCAGCCCCCUGGGCCAAUACUGACGCUCAUGCACGAAAGCGUGGGGAGCAAACAGGAUUAGAUACCCUGGUAGUCCACGCCCUAAACGAUGUCAACUAGUUGUUGGGGAUUCAUUUCCUUAGUAACGUAGCUAACGCGUGAAGUUGACCGCCUGGGGAGUACGGUCGCAAGAUUAAAACUCAAAGGAAUUGACGGGGUCAUAGCUGUUUCCU
rnacentral:rRNA from 1 species